GAUGAACGCUGGCGGCGUGCCUAAUACAUGCAAGUCGAGCGAACGGACGAGAAGCUUGCUUCUCUGAUGUUAGCGGCGGACGGGUGAGUAACACGUGGAUAACCUACCUAUAAGACUGGGAUAACUUCGGGAAACCGUAGCUAAUACCGGAUAAUAUUUUGAACCGCAUGGUUCAAAAGUGAAAGACGGUCUUGCUGUCACUUAUAGAUGGAUCCGCGCUGCAUUAGCUAGUUGGUAAGGUAACGGCUUACCAAGGCAACGAUGCAUAGCCGACCUGAGAGGGUGAUCGGCCACACUGGAACUGAGACACGGUCCAGACUCCUACGGGAGGCAGCAGUAGGGAAUCUUCCGCAAUGGGCGAAAGCCUGACGGAGCAACGCCGCGUGAGUGAUGAAGGUCUUCGGAUCGUAAAACUCUGUUAUUAGGGAAGAACAUAUGUGUAAGUAACUGUGCACAUCUGGACGGUACCUAAUCAGAAAGCCACGGCUAACUACGUG
rnacentral:rRNA from 1 species